rnacentral:rRNA from 1 species
AUUCCAGCUCCAAUAGCGUAUAUUAAAGUUGUUGCAGUUAAAAAGCUCGUAGUUGGAUUUCUGGUGCAUUCCACUGGCCUAUUGGUUAACUCCAACUUGCCUCACUUGAAAUACGCCAUCUUUAGGCAGACCCGUCGUGGCAUUAGGUUGUCGUGAUGGUUACGCCUAUCGUUUACUGUGAAGAAAUUAGGGUGUUCAAAGCAGGCUUAUGCCAUGAAUACGUUAGCAUGGAAUAAUGAGAUAGGAUUUCGGUACUAUUUUGUUGGUUUGUGUACGGAAAUAAUGAUUAACAGGAACAGUGUUGUGGGUAUUCGUAUUUCGUUGUCAGAGGUGAAAUUCUUGGAUUUACGAAAGACGAACGACUGCGAAAGCAUUUACCAAGGAUGUUUUCAUUA